AGCAAAUCUCUCGCUCUCUCUCUCUCAGUCUUCCCCCGCUCUCUUGCUUUCUCUGCUCGUUGAAAAACCCUAGCGUUAAUUUCUCUACUCUUCGCGAUGAUUCCUUUUGGCUCCGCUGCUUCUACUCAGAUUCGGUUUCUGUUCCAGAGCUUGAACGGUUCCAAUUCUGACACUGUAAUCCAUGAGCUCCGUCAGUAUCUGUCAUAUGGAGUUGAAGGGAGCAUAUUGCUUCUUCGGACCUGCAUCGAUCAUCUGAAUGUUUAUGGGAAAGACUCGAAGAACACACAGCUGGAUCCUGUAUUUGCUUCCAUUUUCAGAUGCAUAUUGGACAAGCCAAAUUUCAGCACUGUUCUUUCUGAAUCCCUCAAGGACACUGCAAUCAGUGAGGAGUUUUUAGUGAAUCUAUCAAAUGCUUUCCACUUGGCAAUAUCUGAAAAAAUUGGAGUUGGCCUUGCGUUGUCAGACUCAGAAAAUGUUGAUGUCAAGAAAUGUGGAACCAAUUACUGCAUGGGCCAGAUUGCAGAAUUACGUUCCACCAACUCUUCUUUAGAUGAUGCCAAGCAAAUUCAGAAUGUUCUUUUGUUUCUGAAUCAAUCUGAAGGCCUCUCUAAGCAUGUAGACUUGUUUAUGCAUUUGCUAUCACUUGUCCCGUCAAAAGAAGCCCAGUUCAUU
rnacentral:misc_RNA from 1 species